rnacentral:tRNA from 5 species
GGGUCGUUAGCUCAGUUGGUAGAGCGCCUGCCUUACAAGCAGGAUGUCGGCGGUUCGACCCCGUCACGACCCACCA